rnacentral:tRNA from 2 species
GCGAGGAUGGCGGAAUUGGUAGACGCGCCAGACUUAGGAUCUGGUGCCUGAGAAGGUGUGGGAGUUCGAGUCUCCCUCCUCGUA